AAUUUUGGACAAUGGGGGAAACCCUGAUCCAGCCAUCCCGCGUGUAUGAUGAAGGCCUUCGGGUUGUAAAGUACUUUUGGCAGAGAAGAAAAGGUAUCUCCUAAUACGAGAUAAUGCUGACGGUAUCUGCAGACUUAGCACCGGCUAACUACGUGCCAGCAGCCGCGGUAAUCAGUAGGGUUCAAGCGUGAAUCGGAAUUACUGGGCGUAAAGCAUGUGUAGGCGGUUCGGAAAUAAGGAUGUGAAAUCCCAGGGCUCAACCUUGGAACUGCAUUUUUAACUGCCGAGCUAGAGGAUGUCAGAGGGGGGUAGAAUUCCAAGUGUAGCAGUGAAAUGCGUAGAUAUGUGGAGGGAUAACGAUGGCGAAGGCAGCCCCCUGGGAUAAUACUGACGCUCAGACACGGAAGCGUGGGGAGCAAACA
rnacentral:rRNA from 1 species